AUUGAACGCUGGCGGCAGGCUUAACACAUGCAAGUCGAGCGGGGGAAGGUAGCUUGCUACCGGACCUAGCGGCGGACGGGUGAGUAAUGCUUAGGAAUCUGCCUAUUAGUGAGGGACAACAUCUCGAAAGGGAUGCUAAUACCGCAUACGUCCUACGGGAGAAAGCAGGGGAUCACUUGUGACCUUGCGCUAAUAGAUGAGCCUAAGUCGGAUUAGCUAGUUGGUGGGGUAAAGGCCGACCAAGGCGACGAUCUGUAGCGGGUCUGAGAGGAUGAGCCGCCACACUGGGACUGAGACACGGCCCAGAUUCCUACGGGAGGCAGCAGUGGGGAAUAUUGGACAAUGGGGGGAACCCUGAUCCAGCCAUGCAGGGUGUGUGAAGAAGGCCUUAUGGUUGUAAAGCACUUUAAGCGAGGAGGAGGCUCUUUUGGUUAAUACCCAAGAUGAGUGGACGUUACUCGCAGAAUAAGCACCGGCUAACUCUGUGCCAGCCGCCGCCGUAA
rnacentral:rRNA from 1 species